rnacentral:rRNA from 1 species
AUUGAACGCUGGCGGCAGGCUUAACACAUGCAAGUCGAGCGGAGAUGAGGUGCUUGCACCUUAUCUUAGCGGCGGACGGGUGAGUAAUGCUUAGGAAUCUGCCUAUUAGUGGGGGACAACAUUCCGAAAGGAAUGCUAAUACCGCAUACGUCCUACGGGAGAAAGCAGGGGAUCUUCGGACCUUGCGCUAAUAGAUGAGCCUAAGUCGGGUGAGCAAGUUGGUGGGGUAAAGGCCUACCAAGGCGACGAUCUGUAGCGGGUCGGAGAGGAUGAUCCGCCAAACUGGGACUGAGACACGGCCCAGACUCCUACGGGAGGAAGCAGUGGGGAAUAUUGGACAAUGGGGGGAACCCUGAUCCAGCCAUGCCGCGUGUGUGAAGAAGGCCUUAUGGUUGUAAAGCACUUUAAGCGAGGAGGAGGCUACUGAGACUAAUACUCUUGGAUAGUGGACGUUACUCGCAGAAUAAGCACCGGCUAACUCUGUGCCAGCAGCCGCCGUAAAAC